AAUGCUUGAGAAACACUUAUGUUCCACAAACUUUUCUCAAAUCUGUCCUUUGUUGACAAAUUUGUUUUGAUUUUUUUGUUAAAAUUGUCAGCAAAAAUUGUUUUCUUUGGUAAAAAGCAAAAUCACGCGAAUUUAGGACCCAUUUCUGGGCCGGAUUCUUGAGAUUGGAGGCAUCAAAAAAGUUGCAGGAAUUUAAUAGAUGUGUAGUUUUAGUGGAAGAGAUGCAGAAGCUCAAAUGAGGGAGAAAAAAGCGUCAGGGUAUUAAGGCCACAUGAGGCAGUUACAACUGGGAUGUCCAUCAAAAAAAAAAAAUGUGUAAAAUCAUGGUACAAUAAGCUACGUAAAACUACAUAAAUACAGCCCUGAGGCUAUGCCCGCUUCCUGUCGGAAUUAUUCAAAAUUAUAGGCAGCAAGUUGUUUUCAUUUAUUUGAUAUUUUUGUUCACGUCUAAAUUGUGUCAAAUAGCGCGAAAGAUGAAUGAAAUGCCUGGAUGUUCUCUCAAAAAUAUGAUCCUAAGUGUUCAAACUUUCAAUUCCAUGCAACAAAUACAUACACAAAAUUGGCAGAAGUCGGGCACACUUAGAAAAAAAUUGUAAUCAG